UGGGCCCAAUGUUAAAUAGCUUCAGAAACAGUACCGUAUCCCAAAGCAAUUUCAGCUCUUUGCGUCUAGUCCGAAUGGUCGGAUGAAUUCUCCUCCUCUGAGUCAGGUUGCAUUUUAUGUCGAAGAUCUUCGGACCGAUCGUUGAUUUUUGAUUUUGAAGUUUGUCCAAAAUCUUCUUGACUAUUACCGUCUGUGUCCCGCUCAGCUGGCUCUGAACUCCAUUCGGCUGAUUAUCAGCUUUGCUCUAUUGUGUCA
rnacentral:lncRNA from 1 species